rnacentral:rRNA from 1 species
UACAGAGGUCUCAAGCGUUGUUCGGAUUCAUUGGGCGUAAAGGGUGCGUAGGCGGCGCGGUAAGUCGGGUGUGAAAUCUCGGAGCUUAACUCCGAAACUGCAUUCGAUACUGCCGUGCUUGAGGACUGGAGAGGAGACUGGAAUUUACGGUGUAGCGGUGAAAUGCGUAGAUAUCGUAAGGAAGACCAGUGGCGAAGGCGGGUCUCUGGACCGAGAUUGACACUGAUGAGCGAAAGCCAGGGGAGCAAACGGG